rnacentral:rRNA from 1 species
CCUACGGGGGGCUGCAGUGGGGAAUAUUGGACAAUGGGCGAAAGCCUGAUCCAGCCAUGCCGCGUGUGUGAAGAAGGCCUUCGGGUUGUAAAGCACUUUCAGUGGGGAAGAAAGCCUUGGGGCUAAUACCCUCGAGGAAGGACAUCACCCACAGAAGAAGCACCGGCUAACUCCGUGCCAGCAGCCGCGGUAAUACGGAGGGUGCGAGCGUUAAUCGGAAUUACUGGGCGUAAAGCGCGCGUAGGCGGUCUGAUAAGCCGGUUGUGAAAGCCCCGGGCUCAACCUGGGAACGGCAUCCGGAACUGUCAGGCUAGAGUGCAGGAGAGGAAGGUAGAAUUCCCGGUGUAGCGGUGAAAUGCGUAGAGAUCGGGAGGAAUGCCAGUGGCGAAGGCGGCCUUCUGGACUGACACUGACGCUGAGGUGCGAAAGCGUGGGUAGCAAACAGGAUUAGAUACCCUAGUAGUC